rnacentral:hammerhead_ribozyme from 1 species
CUUCAGCUAACGAGCCCCAAAUAGGACGAAACGCGCGUCAAACUGGAU